rnacentral:lncRNA from 1 species
UGGUCCUUCAAACGUUCGCGGACGUGCUCGAUUGCGUCGACGGGUAUUAACCGGACACGCCUUAUAUUUGGUACUCUCCAUCCGUAUAUCUCAUAUCAGACACCCUAUAUUCAUACUACACGUACAAUGUUGAGCUACUCUACUAAUCAAACACCGAACCAAAAAUCAGAUGAAAACAAACAUGAGAUCUACUCCAGACGGACAUCAAACAUCAAACGGACCUUGCCUCCAAAUGUUCCUAGCGGCAAUUUGAUAUGCUCACUUUGGAACAUUUGGAGGCAGCAAAAUCAACGAGUCUUCACUGGCAAAAUAACCGACUUACCGUGAAGUGUCUCACCUUGGAUUUUGGCAUGCACAAAAAUAGUUGUUUUAUACUCCCUCCGUCCCAAAAUUCUUGUCUUAGAUUUGUCU